UGGGCCUCCUCCAGUAGUCGAGGUGGUCGUUUCCAUUUGGGCCCAACACGAGACAAUCUUUUCGUUCUUCUCACAGACUAGCGGCGGCCGGCGGGGGAGGUCACCGCGGCCGCCGCCGGCGACGGCGGCGGCUGCGGGAUUGCUCCUCCCGGACCGCUGCCGCGCGCCCGCGAUGCCCUUGAACUGUUCUACGACAAUGCCAGGGCUGGCCUGGUCAGAGUGGAGGCGCUUCCCUUCCCUGUGAGGUGGCGCACUCAGGGUGUUCGGCGAAAUGCUCGAGUAACUUGUACCGGGCGGCAGCGAGCGUGGCCAUAGGCGCCGGAGGAUGACGCCGCGUGUGUGCGUUCCGCAAUGCCACGCUCUCUUCACGCGCGCGAGUCAACCUCCUUCGAGAUGUUUUGUUCGUCGCACUAUGGCGUUCCAGUAGCGGCUGCCAGUUAUACUAUUGGAAAGUCAACUUCUCGACAUUGGCGGCCGCAUGACUUCUCUUACCAGCUUCACCAUGGAUCUCUUCGGCUCUUCGCUAGCUAUUAUUCCGGACCAAAUUUUGACACAACGAUUGAACUGAAGGAUGCUGCAUCACCUUUAUUCAACAGGAAAAUGCACUGUAUUUGCGAAAGAACAAAAAUAAUUGCUGAAGAUUUGUAAGUUGGAGAGAUAGCACUACAUGGAAUUAAAGCGUCAUUCCAAGAAGUGUAUAUGAUUUACAGCAAUCAUCAUGCAUCGGCGUCGCGGUCAUGGUGUGUACAACAACAAUGAACAACUGAUACCUUCUCUGCAUCCCGCCGCCGCCGCCGUGGAGGCGUGGAGGUGUGAUUAUUUAUUGGAGAAUGGGCGCGGAGCGGUGAACGGUCGCCUUACCGAGCGGUGGCCAUCUGGUCUCGUUUCAACGGUUCGGAUCAAGUCGCGCGUGCGAGCGAUUAUAUAAUACUUCGUCCGUUUUAUAAUUGCCUAUACUGUCCAGACAAGUGACAACUUCCAUGAUAGUUGGCCUCUUCAAAGGAUUACAGUCAACACACUUGCAAGCAGUUUCGAGCACCUUUAGCAUUUGCUCUUCGCACCCUGUGCCUCGAAGUGUUGGAUCCAACACCUCAAUCUGCUUUCCCUCUGAUCUCAUCUUAUGUACCCAUGGGACAAGU